rnacentral:rRNA from 1 species
UACGGAGGGUGCAAGCGUUAUCCGGAUUCACUGGGUUUAAAGGGUGCGUAGGUGGGUCUGAAAGUCAGUGGUGAAAUCUCCGGGCUCAACCCGGAAACUGCCAUUGAUACUACAGGUCUUGAAUUUUCUGGAGGAUAGCGGAAUAUGUCAUGUAGCGGUGAAAUGCUUAGAUAUGACAUAGAACACCAAUUGCGUAGGCAGCUAUCUACAGGGAUAUUGACACUGAGGCACGAAAGCGUGGGGAUCAAACAGG